GACAAAUCUUCCAUCUGAAAUCGUGUUUCCCAGGCUUGCGCUCCAUUAGAGCUUUUAAAAAUACAUGUUCCCGCCUAGAAAUGCAUACAUUCUCACAGGCACAUGGCAUGGGGCAAAGAAAAAGGAAGAUCAGAGGAGGUAUAGAAUUUGCCCAAUGUUGCACGUAAUCAGUAAAUGUAAUGACGAGGGUGUGAACACCCAAGUGUAAUAUAUCUUCUGCUGGUAUUGCAGUUGCAGUGGGAGGAACGCCUUGCCCCUACCUACUAAAUCCUACUUGGAAGCAAAAGUCUAAAAACUGACUAUUAAUCUAUUUUUUUUCAUCAAUGAAAGCACCCUGAGUCAUAUUGCUUUGCCAAUAUUUUAUUAUGAAAAUUUUCAAACAAACAGCAAAAUUGAAAGAAGUUUAUAAUGAAGAACCCAUGUACCCGGUGGCAUGUUGGUAAGCUGGCUUUCCA
rnacentral:lncRNA from 1 species